GCUCAAGUCCUGGACUCCACUGAGACCACACUGAGGUCGAGAUGCUCAUCAUGGGGGCUGUGCUGCUGUUACUAAUUGGUGUGGCUGAAGGUGUGGAGACCUUCUGCAACGCCACACAGCCACACAUCACGACCCAGUGCUUUGGCUCUCUGGGAGGAACCGUAGAGGUCCAGAUGCUUACUCAGUACUCACAAGAUGAUACCUUCAGACUGAAGAAGAACAAUGUCACGAUUUUAUCAGAACGCAAUCAGACAAACAUUCGAUAUUCAUUUAAUGUCAGUACUGGAAUAUUUACUAUAAAGGACAUCGACAGGAAAGACAAUGGUGAAUACUCAAUGGAAGUAUAUGACCGAGAAGCUGGAAGGCUAGUGGCAUCUACAAAAUGUUAUUUAACCAUUCAAGCCCCGGCCUCCUCUCCCCUCAUGUCCCGGGAGUGUCUGUCCUGGGGACAGCAGAGGGUGUCCUGCUCUGCCGGGGGGGACGGACUCCACUACAGCUGGAGUCUAGACGGACUCCCGCUGAACGACCCGCGUCUCCUCUCCGGACCCAGUAGCGCUAGUGACGUCACUCUGGAGCCGGGCCGGUCGGGACUGGUCACCUGCUCGGUCCACAACAUCAUGAGCAACGCCACGGCCAACAUCACCUUGUCUGUGUGUGACGGUGUGAAGACCGUCUGCGACGCCACACAGCCACGCGUCACGACCCAGUGCUUUGGCUCUCUGGGAGAAACCGUGGAGGUCCUGAUGCCUACUCAGUCCUCACAAAAUGAUACCUUCAGACUGAAGAAAGACAGAGUCACGAUUUUAUCAGGACGCAGUCAGACAAACAUUCGAUAUUCAUUUAAUGUCAGUACUGGAAUAUUUACUAUAAAGGACAUCGACAGGACAGACAAUGGUACAUACUCAAUGGAAGUACAUAAUGUAACUGGAAUGGGAGUAGCAUUUACAAAAUGUUAUUUAAACAUUCAAGCCCCGGUCUCCUCUCCCCUCCUGUCCCGGGAGUGUCUGUCCUGGGGACAGCAGAGGGUGUCCUGCUCUGCCGGGGGGGACGGACUCCACUACAGCUGGAGUCUAGACGGACUCCCGCUGAACGACCAGCGUCUCCCCUCCGGACCCAGUAGCGCUAGUGACGUCACUCUGGAGCCGGGACGGUCGGGACUGCUCACCUGCUCGGUCCGCAACAUCGUGAGCAACGCCACGGCCAACAUCACCUUGUCUGUGUGUGACGGUGUGAAGACCGUCUGCGACGCCACACAGCCACGCGUCACGACCCAGUGCUUUGGCUCUCUGGGAGAAACCGUGGAGGUCCUGCUGCCUACUCAGUCCUCACAAAAUGAUACCUUCAGACUGAAGAAAGACCAUGUCUCGAUUUUAUCAGAACGCUAUCAGACAAACAUUCGAUAUUCAUUUAAUGUCAGUACUGGAAUAUUUACUAUAAAGGACAUCGACAGGAAAGACAAUGGUGAAUACUCUAUGGAAGUACAUAAUGCAGAUGGGAGGGGAGUAGCAUUUACAAAAUGUUAUUUAACCAUUCAAGCCCCGGUCUCCUCUCCCCUCCUGUCCCGGGAGUGUCUGUCCCGGGGACAGCAGAGGGUGUCCUGCUCUGCCGGGGGGGACGGACUCCACUACAGCUGGAGUCUAGACGGACUCCCGCUGAACGACCCGCGUCUCCUCUCCGGACACAGUAGCGCUAGUGACGUCACUCUGGAGCCGGGCCGGUCGGGAUUGCUCACCUGCUCGGUCCGCAACAUCGUGAGCAACGCCACGGCCAACAUCACCUUGUCUGUGUGUGGCGGGCUCGUCCCGUUCAUCGUUCGUCCUCUGACGGUGGUGCUGCUGCUCCUAGCAGCAUUGGGAGUCUACUGGGCCCUAAAGAAGAAGAAAACCUCCAGCCCCCGAGACAUCGCGCUGUCCUCCAUGGCAGUAGAUGAUGAUGUGCCGUACGUUAACGUCUCCGGGGCGACCGGGAGGUCAGGGGGAGAGUGAGGGGGAGUACGGGGCGGUCAGGGUGGCUCCAGGCCCCAGGCGGACGCGGGAGACCAAUGUGGGCGAGCUAGUGCGCGCUCAGCCCCGGAGGACGAGGCCCUGAGAGCUGUCACCACCCAGAAGGACGCGUAGACAGCGCUUUAGCCAGAGAGCCAUCAGCCCACUGACAUUAGACCUGCCAGGGACACUUCUCUCCCUGCAUCUCAAAGGCCACUUCGUUUGAAAAUGUGAAUAUUUAUUCGGCCGUGGUUAUGUUCAUAUUUAUGUUCAUAAAGCCGUUCACAUGUAGUUUAAACAGUGUAGUAGUCAAAUCUCAACUCUUAUUUUUAUUAUUAAUAGUGUCUAUUUUUUCCUCUGUUGUUGUCCACGGUGGCUUCCUGGGUCAAGGAUAGAAACUGAUCCAAUCAAAUAAUUGUGAUAGCUCGAUCUCUGAAAGCAAUAUUCUGCAUGUGUAACUCUUAACAUAUAACUACUAUUUUCUUUAUAGUAUACUAUACUGAAUGUGUAACUUAAUUUCAUUAUUUUUUGCACUAUUAUGUAUGUGUAACUGGCUUGGAUGCGUUUCCGUAUGAAAUAUACUAUUUUUUUUAAAGAGUAGGCCUACUUCAUCUUUUGUGUUCUAUAAACAUUCUUAAGGUUCCAGACAUGUAAAUUGAACCACUUACACACGGCACACACACACACACGCACGCGCACGAACGCACAUGCGCACACACACACACACACACACACACACACACACACACACACACAAUUUGAUGGCACUUUUAUUCAUUUUACCCUUGUUUUACUGUUACAAAAUCCAGUUGACAUCUUACCAUACCGAAGAGAUAAUUUACAACAAAAAAAUUAGGGAUGUCCGAUAUUGGCUUUUUUGCCGAUAUCCGAUAUGCGAUAUUGUCCAACUCUAAAUUUUCGAUUCCGAUAUCAGCCGAUACCGAUAUUUGGGUUAUUUAUUUUUCCUCAAACCUAAUUUAGGUAACAUUACAUAUCUCCUGUUGUGGAAUUAACACAACAUGCUUAAUGUUAUUGUGAUGCCCCACUGGAUGCAUUCUUGAAUGCAACAAGGCUUUCCAAAUGUUAACAUUGUCUGUGCAAAAUAAGAAAAAUACUUCAACUUAAUUUAAGGGAAAAGUAAAAAAAUUUUUAAUGGUCUCAGACAACAGUUUGGAUUACACUCUCCCUGAGAUAAUCUUGACAACGCCCACAACAAAUAGGGCAAACUUGACUUCACAAAUGAUAAAACAUUGUACCUGAACAACUAUGUGCAACAUAGCAGUAUGUUUCUUUGACUAAAACUCAAUAACCUUAAUUGAAUAAAUGCACAAAUAUUAGUCAAUUACAAUGUGCACUGUACUGCACAAUUUUGAAAACAUUUAUUUGAGCUAUAAAAAAAAUAAAAUAAAAAAAAUCGGUUUUAGGGCAAAAAAAAUCCGAUACCGAUAUUGACCGAUAUUACAUUUUUAUGCUAAUAUCGGGCCGAUAAUAUCGGUGGGCCGAUAAUAUCGGACAUCUCUAAAAAAAAUAGAUUUUAGGUUUGAAUGAUAAGGGACCAAAGAGGCGACUGUUGGUGGAACAAAAGAAGAAUGGACCAGAAAAGAGAUCAGACACGAGUGAAAGGGGAACUAUGAAACUUUUUUGGCUUGAUUUACCUUAAUAUAACAGGCUAAGAGUCAUUGCGAUGGUUCUAUUAUACAUUUUUGUUCGAUUGUUGGUUGUUUCGACUCCCCCUUGCGCAUCUUGGCGGAGAAAAGGAAUAUGUUUCUGCCAGCGACCCGCCGCCCACUCUCGCGGGAGUCUCGGGUCUCGAGAAGUAACGAAUUGCUUUACGGCACAGACCCCCAAAAACGGAACCGGUGUAAGUACCAUAUUGGCUCGGCUUUCAGAUCGGCUCGGGGUCCGUCGUCUGCUGAUUACGUCACACAAUAGCUAUCUACAGCAAUAAGGUUUUUUAUGGCUUAAAUUAAAGAGCCUGUAAUGAUCUUUCAUUUUGAACAUAGACCAUUCCCAACCUAUCUGUAUGGAUAGUUUUCUUCUAAAAACAAAACAUCCCUCGGAAUCAUCUUGGCUGUUAAAAUAAGCCGUCCGUGUUGCCAAAUUGGGCACAUUUUCAGCCUGAUUUGGCUACUUUGAAUCACGUUAGGCUGGAAAACCGGGACAUAUGCCCAAUCUGGCAACACAAACCGAAACUAGACAUAGACCUACUCGCGCUCACAAAUGUGCUCGCUGUUGCCUCGUGGUUGCUAUGACUACAGCCAGAGCUACAGCACAAAACAGCCAAUCACAACUGUCCGACGUACAGCCAAUCACAAUGUACGCCCAUUCAAGCGUACAGCCAAUGAUAUUGUGUAACGUAAUCAGCAGACGACGGACCCCGAGCCGAUCUGGAAGCCGAGCCGAUAUGGUACUUACACCGGCUCAAUCUAAACACAAGUAACUAAGGCAAGGCACUUUUAUUUAUAUAGCACAUUUCAUGCCAAUGGCAACCCAAAGUGCUUUACACAAAUACAAUGAAGUGUUUUCCAUAAUAAAAGGAAGACAAGACAAAAUAUAAAAAUUAAAAUGCAUAAAAUCAGAUAAAAAACAUAAAUAAAGUGAAUAAAGGGUUAUGCAUAAGGGAGAGCAUAUAAAACAGAAAAUUAGUCUAAGAAAAGGCAACAGAAAAUAGAUGGGUCUUGAUACUGGUUUUAAAACUGUCAAUAGAGGGUGAAGUUCUGAUUGAAAUUGGCAGCUGGUUCCACAGCUGAGUAGCAUAAAAACUAAAGGCAGCUUCACCGCUUUUGGUUCUCACAGUUGGUUUUGUUAAAAACAGUUGGUCUUGAGAUCUAAGAGGUCUAGUGGGGGUGUGGUAUUGGAGGAGGUCUACGAGAUAAGUGGGCCCCAUUCCAGUUAGUGAUUUAAAAACAAGCAACAAUACUUUAAAAUCUAUUCUUUGACUGACAGGGAGCCAGUGUAAAGUUUUUAGUAGGGGUGUAAUGUGGUCUGACCUCUUAGCUUUCAUAAGGACCCUAGCAGCUGCAUUCUGGAUCAACUAAGGGAUUGUUACAUUCAUCAUAGAUCAGCCGACUAAAAAGAGACAGCGAAACCCAAUGUCUGAGGAACAGAAGAAGAGAAAAGGGAGACUGACCGACAGAGAGGCCAGACACGAGUAAACGUUGGGCAAGCUUUUCAGGAAUAGCGUGAACUGAAAGAAAAAGAAGACUGCAAAUCAGACGCUGACUUGGCCGUGUUGCUUUUGAAAUUGAAAGUACCCUUGGGUGAACUUUGUCUUCGUGGUAUUCUUGAUAUUGAUAGACAAACUAUCCAUUUGUCUCUGUACAAAUGUGUUUGCUCAACCAUUUUGUUGUGAGCCCUGUAAAAAUUGUUUUCUCGACCGUUUUGUUGUGAGCCCUGUAUGUUUCUAGCUUGCUUGGUUGCAACCAUAUAAACACCUUUGUUUCCAUGGGUGUUUUGCUGUUCGUCUGUCUCGUCCCCCAGAUACAGACUGAAUCCCCAAAUCCAGGUUCUUGUUUAUUUCGAUUAUUAUGUUGGCCAACACUCUUACACAGAUUGUUCUGUUCAACCUAAGAUAAAACAAUUAUAAUCUAGGAUAUAAAUUCUCACCGUCAACUAUAAAAAAGGAUGGAUAUAUGUUUAUUGCAAUACAAAUACACCAUUUUAAAAUGUAUAACCUUGCCUACACUUUGUGAACAUCUACUUCGGACAUGGCUCCACGCAUUCGCCGGCUUCUUUGAAAACAAAUGCACAUGGCUCGCGUAGAAGUGCAUGGGGAAGGGUCGUCAACGAGUUGUUACGACAGUGUUGUCAAAUAUCUACUACGAAGCUGUAGGGGGCGCUGUCUAGAGAAAUGUGCGUGCCAAAACCAAGAAAACAGCGAAGAAAUGCCCGAAGUUGCAGAGUGGGCCUAGUCAACACGUCGACAUUAAACUCGAAAUGUCGAGAAUAAAGUUGAAAUGUCAUGUCGACCCUAAUCUCGACAUGUCGAGAGUAAAACUCGAAAUGUCGAGAAUAAAGUUGAAAUAUUAUGUUGACUUUGAUCUUAAUUUGUCGACUUUGAAGUCGACAUUAAACUCGAAAUGUCGAGGAUACAGUUGAAAUUAGUUGGGAGAGAUAGCAACCGCUCCACAGGGCCUGCACUGAAUCCAAUGGCUUGUAA
ensembl:lncRNA